rnacentral:siRNA from 1 species
AGCCAAUAUGAGUUUAAAUAUGGU